AUUAUUUAAUCUUUUUUUUUGCUGUAUAAAAUUUUUAAAAUUGCAUGCAUAGCACUACUGCAUAUUUUCUUUAUUGAAGAUCUGAGGUGUCCCAUGAUUACCAUGCUGAUCCGAGGUACUCACGGUAACCAUCGUAAUACUAUUCCCUAGUUUUGAGUUUGAGAAUCAGAUAAAAGGAGUAUUCUAAAAGUCAUACCUC
rnacentral:lncRNA from 1 species